rnacentral:lncRNA from 1 species
CAAGAAAGGCACUAUCACAAUAGCAUCAAGUUCCAGUAGCAAUACCGUCAUCUUAUUCAGACUGAGGGCCGCAUUGACAAAUACGAGGCAGUCUACCUUUGGGCAAAUAUCCCACCGUUAGAGUCUAUUUAUAUUUCAGCAGACAGAGGCUAUUUACAUUUCAGCCGACAGAGGCUAUUUACAUUUUAAUCGACGGAGGCUAUUUGCAUUUUAACCGACGAAGGCUAUUUAUAUUUCAGCUGACGGAGGCUAUUUACAUUCAAGCAGCUGCUCAGCCGACGGAGGUUAUUUACAGUUUAGCCGGUGAAGGCUAUUUACAUUCUACUUGAUGGAAGCUAUUUACAUUCUAGCCGACGAAGGCUAUUUAUAUUUCAGCUGACAGAGGCUAUCUACAUUUCAGUUAUUGCCACGCCAGUCGGAAGCCUCCAAAAAUGAAGACAAUACUAGUUUGAAAAUCUAAACUCUACUCUUUACAUUACAAUUUUAAUUUACAAUUUGUCCAACGACAGGUUCUUUUUACCCUAUUACCUGUUUUUCAGGGAAAUGCAAUGCAGUACAACGUGGAACUACCCUCUUAGCAGCAAACUGGGGCAAGCUAGUGGAAUGUCAAGCAUCCCUAGCUACGUCAAGGAUUCCAGCGAAGAAAAUCAAUUCAACUCAACUCAAGUUUUCAUUUUUAUAAUUUUCUUUGUCAUCACCAAGUUCCGUCUUAAUCCAACACUGGGGCAAUUUUUGAAAAAUCAUUAUCUCUUUUUCUCUCAAGAUCCUCAGCAGAUAUCACUAUCUAAAAUCUUCUCAUCCCUAGUCAAUUUUGGGACUUGAACCCAUAUCCAUUCCAUUUCGUGCUGAGAUUUUGUUAUCAUCCCGAAGGAACCCAGUGUUACCACAAUUCUAUACUGCGCAAAUUUUGAUAAACAUCAAAAUUUUGCUACAAUUCGAACUACAAAUGGCCUGAUUUCUCAUGGAGCCCGAGAUAUGUUGGCAGCUCAAGAAUCGGAGCCCGACUAUAAUCUUCCAAACAUUUUGCUUUUUUCGAGAAAAAAUUGGUUGCGUCAACGUGAGUGCACAAAGAUUUUCACCUAAAUCUCCGGUCACUCAGGGGCAACUGUUGACACCCAAUUUUGACUCAAACUUUUUUCUUUAAUUGUUUUACCGAUGCUCCUCAACCCUAAAUAAUUUUAAAAAAUUAAAUUAAAAAAUAAGAUUCGUAUUUUUUUUUAUUUCUAUAUUUUUUAAAAGAGAAAUUUAUUUUCUAUCAUAAUAUAAAAUAUUUUUAUUAAAUAUAUUUAAAUAUUUUAACGAAUAAAAAUAUAUAUCUUUUGAUAUUCACAUUUACAUUCUUUCUAAUCUUUUAUUUUAGGGCGAUAUUGUGACCAAAUGUUUAUAUAUAUAUAUAUUCUUAAUACAUAAAAUAUAUAUUUUAUAAGAUGUACAUAUACUUUCUCAUAUUCUUGUUUUUAUAUAUUAUAUUCUUAUUUUCUACACGCACAUAUAUAUGCCUAUAGUUUGUUAAUAUUAAAUCACACACAAAAAAGAUAUCAAAUCGAACACUAAUGCAAGUUAUAUCUGUAAUUUAUAUACGUUAAACUAAAAAUAAUUUUUAGGAUAUCAGGGAGCAUCGAUAAAUUCAAUUUCAGUAGAAAAGAGCAUUCGGGCUAACAAUAAUCAAGUUUCAUUUUUAUUUUUCACCCAAGCCCAACUCACAUUUUAUAAAUUUCAACCAAAAUCCUGAAAAUUAGCCCAAAACUCAGUACAAUUUCUAUGUCCGCUUCGUCACUCCACCUCAACAAAUACGAUUUAACCCGAUCCGAAAAUUUAUUUUUUGUAAAACCCGAAAGGUCCCAAAAUGUUCAGUUAUUUUUUUUAUAUAUAAUGUGUUUUUAUUCAACUAUCUAUUUAUUCAUUAUCUAUUUUUCUCUUUUUUCCUUCUCUUUGAAUUAAAUUUGAAUCGUCCGACCAAAUAUCGAGCGGAUCGAAGAAAAAGGUCUUUUUAAAAUCAAUCUUUCACAUAUUUAUCCGUAUAUACGUGCAUUUUUUAUUUUUCUUAUUUUGUUGCUAUUAUUAUUUUUAAGGGUAAUCUCUUCAAAAUCAUCCGAUCGAAAGAUCGGACGAAUCAAAAUAUAUAUUACAAUCUAUCUUUUUAUAUAUUUUUGAAAUUUGAAUUGUUUUGAUAAAAAACGAACAGAUCAGAAAGUAAUUGGUUUUUAAAUAAUUUUUGUAUAUAUUUAUUUAUAUAUAAAAAUAUAUAAAUAUUUGUUUUGUCAUUAUUUUAAAAUGAUAUUUUAGGACCAUCCGAUCUUUGAUUGUAGGGAUGAAAAUUGAUCAAGAUUUUUAAAAAUAAUGCGUUAAAAUGCACACCUACCGUGUCUGUCAAAGCCAAAAAAUGCGUAUUGCUCUUGCCCAUGACCACCGACUGGUCACUAUUUGUCAUUUCCUGAAAAUACACAAAAGUAGAGCUCCUUUCUCUUUUUCUCCUUCCCUUUCUCCUUCUGCUCCAUUAUCACCAAAACAAGGAAACCCUAAUCCUCACCCUAGCCUACCGCCGGUGACCACCAGCCUGUCGUUAGGAUGCGCGAGAUUCACCCUUUUUCUUUGUCGCCUGAACUCGUGAAACCAAAAAGGAUAGAGAACCAGUCUCUAAAUCCAUGCAAUUCUUGAAAAUUAUCAUUGAAAGCCAGAGGUUCGUGCUGGGGGAGGUUACAAAAUCUCAAAAUUUCUUCAUCAUCUUUCCAUUUUUUUUAUUUUAAGCUUUCAAAUUCGGAUUUUAAUGUCCGGAUAUGCGUCUAUACAAUGGAGGCUUCACCAUCUCCAAAAAAAAAGGUGGAGGAGGAGAGCAAAAAAAGAUGGAGGAGAGAGCGAAAAAGAAGGAGAGAGAAAAAGAAAAGAGGAAAUAUUCGUGAAAAGAAGCUAAAGAAAAAAAAUCGAGUGGAGAGAAAAAAAGAUGUGAACAAGGGAUAAUAUUGAGAAAAAUAAGAAGUUAGGAGAGAUCAGAAGCAAAACACACACACAAAAAAAAGAAAAUUGGAAGAAAGGAAGUCAAAAAAAGAAAAUAGCUUAUAUUUUGAUAAUUUUUAGCAAAGUCAGAUAUUGCAAUAGCUGGUUUCCUUUUGAUUUUAUGCUAAAUUCUGUGUCUCGAAUUGAGUUUGAGGUCGUCAGAAAAUUCGACGUCAACCCCCGUUUGCUGCCACAACAAAGGUGCGAUUCUCUCCGAUUAUUUUUAUCGCGUUCUUGAUUGGCUGUUUCAGUUUUUAUAAGCAUCUGGUUCAUUCUUUGAAUUUGGUGUCAUUGCUGCGUUUUGAGUUUCUGUAGAUCAACUGCUUGGAUAGUUUUGAGAAAACAAACAUUUAUUUUGUUUAAGAUUAGUAAAUCAGUGAAUGGAAUCUUAGUUAUAGUGUUGCUGG